rnacentral:rRNA from 1 species
UUAGGGGUUUCUGGUUUUUCAAGAAAUGAAUUUAAUUCAUGCGUCUUAUUUAGAGUUUUAUUAUUUGUUUAUUUAUUUUUAUUUGGCGUUAAGAUUGGGGGGGAUUAGCUUCUUAUUUUAUUUUUAUAAUUUUUUGUUUAUUUAGUCUUGUGGGUUUUAUAGUGAUUUUCAAUUUGAUUAUGUUAAAAUUUUAUUUGUUUUGUUCUUUAUUUUUAUUUAUUUAAUUAUUUAUUGAAAUGUAUUCUUUAUUUUGUUUUGGUUAGUAAUUAUUGUAGAAUUAGUAAAUUUGUUGUUAGGUUGUUUUAUUUGUGUUAAUUUUCUUUGAGGAACUAGGCAAAUUUCAUGCCCGCCUGUUUAACAAAAACAUCUUUUCUCGUUAGUUUUUGAAGUAUGGCCUGCCCACUGACUUUGGUGUUGAAGGGCCGCGGUAUUUUGACCGUGCAAAGGUAGCAUAGUCAUUAGUUCUUUAAUUGUGAUCUGGUAUGAAUGGCUUGACGAGGCAUGGGCUGUCUUAAUUUUGAAUUGUUUAUUGAAUUUGGUCUUUGAGUUAAAAUUCUUAGAUGUUUUUAUGGGACGAGAAGACCCUAUAGAGUUUAACAUUUGUUAUGGUCCCUUUCUGUUUGUGAGGGUUCACUGGGCCGUCUAAUAUGUUUUGUUGGGGUGAUGGGAGGGAUUAAUUUAA